CACGGGGGGAGCAAGCGUUGUUCGGAAUCACUGGGCGUAAAGGGCGUGUAGGCGGUCAAGUAAGUGGAAUGUGAAACGCCUCGGCUUACCCGAGGACCUGCAUCUCAAACUGCUUGGCUUGAGUAUGGGAGAGGAUGAGGGAAUUCCUGGUGUAGCGGUGAAAUGCGUAGAUAUCAGGAGGAACACCGGUGGCGAAAGCGCUCAUCUGGCCCAAUACUGACGCUGAGGCGCGAAAGCUAGGGGAGCAAACGGG
rnacentral:rRNA from 1 species